rnacentral:lncRNA from 1 species
CCUUUUGUGUUACUGAUGAAAGCACAUACAUAGUAUCCACAAUGCAGACUCUCUGGCCUUUGCUUGGGAAACUUUGUUUCAAUUUGCAAAUAGAGAUGUGUCAAGUAUAAGUACUGAAAAAAUUAGUAAUUUUAUGCCAAACUAAGUCGCACUUACCGAACAUAGAGAUUUGAAACGCAAGUGGCUCCCCAGACCUGGAUCAUGCCU